UACAUAGGUGGCAAGCGUUGUUCGGAAUUACUGGGCGUAAAGGGCGCGUAGGCGGUCCGAUAAGUCCUGUGUGAAAUCCCUCGGCUCAACUGAGGAACUGCACGGGAGACUGCCGGGCUUGAGUUCGGGAGAGGGAAGCGGAAUUCCGGGUGUAGCGGUGAAAUUCGUAGAUAUCAGGAGGAACACCGGUGGCGAAGGCGACCACCUGGACGGAGAUUGACGCUGAGGCGCGAAAGCGUGGGGAGCAAACAGG
rnacentral:rRNA from 1 species